AAUCUAGGCAACAAAAUAAAUAGAACAGAGACUGGAAGACGUGAUGCUUCCUGGGAGAACAUGUGCCCCAUCAAGCAAAGAACUUGUAAUACGCUGAAUGCUGCAUAGAAGGUUUUGAAACUACUUACCUGCUGUGGAACACCUGUAUAACUUUAAAAUGCAUCAAUCAAUCUCGAGAGUAUGAUCAUGCUUCCUGCUUUUAAGGAUCUGAAGUUAACUGCAACUCCAAGUAUACAAGACUUCUUUGGGACCCAUGGAAGCAUCUCUACAUGCUCAUGUUUGCCAGAUUCAGUGGCCUCCUGAAACCUGGCCCUAGCUAAUAAGUUAAAAAGCUCUAAGUAAUCCCGAGCUGCAUUUGAAUCUCCAAGAUCACUUGUUCAUGGGUUGGUAAUACUUUAAAGAGCCAUUUGUUUAACUGCUAAUCUGGAUCUUAUAUUCUGAGCCCCAGCUUUUUUCUAAAGCAAAGAAAAUACAAAAUAAAAGUAAGACCAAAUGCCUUUGUACCAUGGAGAGAGAAAUGACUCAUUGGAAUGCUUCUGUUUUUC
rnacentral:lncRNA from 1 species